GCGGGAGUAGCCCAGUUGGUACAGCGCAACCUUGCCAAGGUUGAGGUCGCGAGUUCGAGACUCGUCUCCCGCUCCA
rnacentral:tRNA from 1 species